GAUGAACGCUAGCGGGAGGCUUAACACAUGCAAGUCGAGGGGCAGCAUAGGGUAGCAAUACUCUGAUGGCGACCGGCAAACGGGUGAGUAACGCGUAUGCAACCUACCCUGUACAGGGGGAUAACCCGGAGAAAUUCGGACUAAUAUCCCGUAAUAAUAUCCGGAGGCAUCUUUGGAUAUUUAAAGUUUCGACGGUACGGGAUGGGCAUGCGUAACAUUAGCUGGUUGGUAAGGUAACGGCUUACCAAGGCUAUGAUGUUUAGGGGUCCUGAGAGGGUGGUCCCCCACACUGGUACUGAGACACGGACCAGACUCCUACGGGAGGCAGCAGUGAGGAAUAUUGGCCAAUGGGCGCAAGCCUGAACCAGCCAUCCCGCGUGCAGGAAGACGGCCCUAUGGGUUGUAAACUGCUUUUCCAGGGAGAGAAACUUACGCACGUGUUGCGUGACUGACGGUACCCUGGGAAUAAGCAUCGGCUAACUCCGUG
rnacentral:rRNA from 1 species